ACAACCACAUCAUGUUGAAACACAGGUUCCCGUGCAAUCACUGAAGUUAAGUAAUGUUGAGUCUGGUCACUACCUAGAUGGGUGACCCCUUGGGAUUACCAGGUACUGUAAG